UCCUGGUUAACCCAGGCAGUCUCAUUAGAGUCCCCACCUUAAAUGUUGGCAACUAAUGAUAAGGGUUGCGCUCGUUGCUGGACUUAACCAAACACCUCACGGCACGAGCUGACGACAGCCAUGCAGCACCUAUAUAACAGUCCUUGCGGAACAUACCAUUUCUGGUACUAGCCAUUACAUUUCGAGCCUGGGUAAGGUUCUUCGCGUUGCAUCGAAUUAAACCACAUGCUCCACUGCUUGUGCGGGCCCCCGUCAAUUCUUUUGAGUUUCACCCUUGCGAGCGUACUCCCCAGGCGGUAUACUUAUCGCGUUAGCUUCGACACAAUCAGGGUUGAGCCCAAUUACAUCAAGUAUACAUCGUUUACGGCAAGGACUAC
rnacentral:misc_RNA from 1 species